rnacentral:rRNA from 1 species
GGUUAAGUUAGAAAGGGCGCAUGGUGGAUGCCUUGGCACUAGGAGCCGAUGAAGGACGGGACGAACACCGAUAUGCUUCGGGGAGCUGUAAGCAAGCUUUGAUCCGGAGAUUUCCGAAUGGGGAAACCCACCACUCGUAAUGGAGUGGUAUCCAUAUCUGAAUACAUAGGAUAUGAGAAGGCAGACCCGGGGAACUGAAACAUCUAAGUACCCGGAGGAAGAGAAAGCAAAUGCGAUUCCCUGAGUAGCGGCGAGCGAAACGGGACCAGCCCAAACCAAGAGGCUUGCCUCUUGGGGUUGUAGGACACUCUGUACGGAGUUACAAAGGAACGAGGUAGAUGAAGAGGUCUGGAAAGGCCCGCCAUAGAAGGUAACAGCCCUGUAGUCAAAACUUCGUUCUCUCCUGAGUGGAUCCUGAGUACGGCGGAACACGUGAAAUUCCGUCGGAAUCCGGGAGGACCAUCUCCCAAGGCUAAAUACUCCCUAGUGACCGAUAGUGAACCAGUACCGUGAGGGAAAGGUGAAAAGCACCCCGGAAGGGGAGUGAAAGAGAUCCUGAAACCGUGUGCCUACAAGUAGUCAGAGCCCGUUAACGGGUGAUGGCGUGCCUUUUGUAGAAUGAACCGGCGAGUUACGAUCCCGUGCAAGGUUAAGCAGAAGAUGCGGAGCCGCAGCGAAAGCGAGUCUGAAUAGGGCGAAUUGAGUACGUGGUCGUAGACCCGAAACCAGGUGAUCUACCCAUGUCCAGGGUGAAGUUCAGGUAACACUGAAUGGAGGCCCGAACCCACGCACGUUGAAAAGUGCGGGGAUGAGGUGUGGGUAGGGGUGAAAUGCCAAUCGAACCUGGAGAUAGCUGGUUCUCUCCGAAAUAGCUUUAGGGCUAGCCUCAAGGUAAGAGUCUCGGAGGUAGAGCACUGAUUGGACUAGGGGCCCCUACCGGGUUACCGAAUUCAGUCAAACUCCGAAUGCCGAUGACUUAUCCUUGGGAGUCAGACUGCGAGUGAUAAGAUCCGUAGUCGAAAGGGAAACAGCCCAGACCGCCAGCUAAGGUCCCAAAGUAUACGUUAAGUGGAAAAGGAUGUGGAGUUGCUUAGACAACCAGGAUGUUGGCUUAGAAGCAGCCACCAUUUAAAGAGUGCGUAAUAGCUCACUGGUCGAGUGACUCUGCGCCGAAAAUGUACCGGGGCUAAACGUAUCACCGAAGCUGCGGACUGUUCUUCGAACAGUGGUAGGAGAGCGUUCUAAGGGCUGUGAAGCAAGACCGGAAGGACUUGUGGAGCGCUUAGAAGUGAGAAUGCCGGUAUGAGUAGCGAAAGAGGGGUGAGAAUCCCCUCCACCGAAUGCCUAAGGUUUCCUGAGGAAGGCUCGUCCGCUCAGGGUUAGUCGGGACCUAAGCCGAGGCCGAAAGGCGUAGGCGAUGGAUAACAGGUUGAUAUUCCUGUACCACCUCCUCACCAUUUGAGCAAUGGGGGGACGCAGGAGGAUAGGGUAAGCGCGGUAUUGGAUAUCCGCGUCCAAGCAGUUAGGCUGGGAAAUAGGCAAAUCCGUUUCCCGUGAAGGCUGAGCUGUGAUGGCGAGCGAAUUAUAGUAGCGAAGUUCCUGAUUCCACACUGCCAAGAAAAGCCUCUAGCGAGGUGAGAGGUGCCCGUACCGCAAACCGACACAGGUAGGCGAGGAGAGAAUCCUAAGGUGAUCGAGAGAACUCUCGUUAAGGAACUCGGCAAAAUGACCCCGUAACUUCGGGAGAAGGGGUGCUCUGUUAGGGUGCAAGCCCGAGAGAGCCGCAGUGAAUAGGCCCAGGCGACUGUUUAGCAAAAACACAGGUCUCUGCGAAGCCGUAAGGCGAAGUAUAGGGGCUGACGCCUGCCCGGUGCUGGAAGGUUAAGAGGAGCGCUUAGCGUAAGCGAAGGUGCGAAUUGAAGCCCCAGUAAACGGCGGCCGUAACUAUAACGGUCCUAAGGUAGCGAAAUUCCUUGUCGGGUAAGUUCCGACCCGCACGAAAGGCGCAACGAUCUGGGCACUGUCUCAACGAGAGACUCGGUGAAAUUAUAGUACCUGUGAAGAUGCAGGUUACCCGCGACAGGACGGAAAGACCCCGUGGAGCUUUACUGCAGCCUGAUAUUGAAUGUUGGUACAGCUUGUACAGGAUAGGUAGGAGCCUUGGAAACCGGAGCGCCAGCUUCGGUGGAGGCAUCGGUGGGAUACUACCCUGGCUGUAUUGACCUUCUAACCCGCCGCCCUUAUCGGGCGGGGAGACAGUGUCAGGUGGGCAGUUUGACUGGGGCGGUCGCCUCCUAAAAGGUAACGGAGGCGCCCAAAGGUUCCCUCAGAAUGGUUGGAAAUCAUUCGCAGAGUGUAAAGGCACAAGGGAGCUUGACUGCGAGACCUACAAGUCGAGCAGGGACGAAAGUCGGGCUUAGUGAUCCGGUGGUUCCGCAUGGAAGGGCCAUCGCUCAACGGAUAAAAGCUACCCCGGGGAUAACAGGCUUAUCUCCCCCAAGAGUCCACAUCGACGGGGAGGUUUGGCACCUCGAUGUCGGCUCAUCGCAUCCUGGGGCUGUAGUCGGUCCCAAGGGUUGGGCUGUUCGCCCAUUAAAGCGGUACGCGAGCUGGGUUCAGAACGUCGUGAGACAGUUCGGUCCCUAUCCGUCGCGGGCGCAGGAAAUUUGAGAGGAGCUGUCCUUAGUACGAGAGGACCGGGAUGGACGCACCGCUGGUGUACCAGUUGUUCUGCCAAGGGCAUCGCUGGGUAGCUAUGUGCGGACGGGAUAAGUGCUGAAAGCAUCUAAGCAUGAAGCCCCCCUCAAGAUGAGAUUUCCCAUUCCGCAAGGAAGUAAGAUCCCUGAAAGAUGAUCAGGUUGAUAGGUCUGAGGUGGAAGUGUGGCGACACAUGGAGCUGACAGAUACUAAUCGAUCGAGGACUUAACCAA